AUGAAACCGAAGUAUAAAAAUGGGUAGUUGAGUCAGGCUUGUUGAGUCUUCAACCUGAAGGUUCCAGUGUCACAUACAGCUAUGAUCAGAAUCAAGACUGGAGUGAGCCUGAGGUACUCAAAACUGCUGAGUGGAACAGAGAGGAUGUAGAGAGGCUGCUCUGGGCUCUGAAUUUUACUAGACAUCUUCUGAGUUCCAGGGACUGGGCACAGAGAGACACAAGAACACAUUUCUGCCCACAGCAUGCUUAUUGCCCAGUGGUGGAGAUGGACAGCUACACAAGACAUGGAAACUGAAGAGACAGGUCCAUGAAUUUUAACACAUGCAAUGGAUUUGUAGAAUGCUGACCAGAGAAUACAGCGUGGUCCUCUCGCCCCCAUCCCCACUGUGCGGUCCCUUCAUUGUCACGCCCU